rnacentral:rRNA from 1 species
UACAGAGGGGGCAAGCGUUGUUCGGAAUUACUGGGCGUAAAGGGCGCGUAGGCGGCCUUCUAAGUCGAACGUGAAAUCCCCGGGCUCAACCCGGGAACUGCGUCCGAUACUGGAAGGCUUGAAUCCGGGAGAGGGAUGUGGAAUUCCAGGUGUAGCGGUGAAAUGCGUAGAUAUCUGGAGGAACACCGGUGGCGAAGGCGAACAUCCUGGACCGGUAGU